GGGUUGUGAGGUUAAGCGACUAAGCGUACACGGUGGAUGCCCUGGCAGUCAGAGGCGAUGAAGGGCGUGCUAAUCUGCGAUAAGCGCCGGUAAGGUGAUAUGAACCGUUAUAACCGGCGAUACCCGAAUGGGGAAACCCAGUGUGACUCGUCACACUAUCAUUAACUGAAUCCAUAGGUUAAUGAGGCGAACCGGGGGAACUGAAACAUCUAAGUACCCCGAGGAAAAGAAAUCAACCGAGAUUCCCCCAGUAGCGGCGAGCGAACGGGGAGGAGCCCAGAGCCUGAAUCAGCAUGUGUGUUAGUGGAAGCGUCUGGAAAGGCGCGCGAUACAGGGUGACAGCCCCGUACACAAAAGCGCAUGUGCUGUGAGCUCGAUGAGUAGGGCGGGACACGUGGUAUCCUGUCUGAAUAUGGGGGGACCAUCCUCCAAGGCUAAAUACUCCUGACUGACCGAUAGUGAACCAGUACCGUGAGGGAAAGGCGAAAAGAACCCCGGCGAGGGGAGUGAAAAAGAACCUGAAACCGUGUACGUACAAGCAGUGGGAGCACAGGUUUACCUGUGUGACUGCGUACCUUUUGUAUAAUGGGUCAGCGACUUAUAUUCUGUAGCAAGGUUAACCGAAUAGGGGAGCCGGAGGGAAACCGAGUCUUAAUUGGGCGUUAAGUUGCAGGGUAUAGACCCGAAACCCGGUGAUCUAGCCAUGGGCAGGUUGAAGGUUGGGUAACACUAACUGGAGGACCGAACCGACUAAUGUUGAAAAAUUAGCGGAUGACCUGUGGCUGGGGGUGAAAGGCCAAUCAAACCGGGAGAUAGCUGGUUCUCCCCGAAAGCUAUUUAGGUAGCGCCUCGUGAAUUCAUCUCCGGGGGUAGAGCACUGUUUCGGCUAGGGGGCCAUCCCGGCUUACCAACCCGAUGCAAACUGCGAAUACCGGAGAAUGUUAUCACGGGAGACACACGGCGGGUGCUAACGUCCGUCGUGAAGAGGGAAACAACCCAGACCGCCAGCUAAGGUCCCAAAGUCAUGGUUAAGUGGGAAACGAUGUGGGAAGGCCCAGACAGCCAGGAUGUUGGCUUAGAAGCAGCCAUCAUUUAAAGAAAGCGUAAUAGCUCACUGGUCGAGUCGGCCUGCGCGGAAGAUGUAACGGGGCUAAACCAUGCACCGAAGCUGCGGCAGCGACGCUUAUGCGUUGUUGGGUAGGGGAGCGUUCUGUAAGCCUGUGAAGGUGGCCUGUGAGGGUUGCUGGAGGUAUCAGAAGUGCGAAUGCUGACAUAAGUAACGAUAAAGCGGGUGAAAAGCCCGCUCGCCGGAAGACCAAGGGUUCCUGUCCAACGUUAAUCGGGGCAGGGUGAGUCGACCCCUAAGGCGAGGCCGAAAGGCGUAGUCGAUGGGAAACGGGUUAAUAUUCCCGUACUUGGUGUUACUGCGAAGGGGGGACGGAGAAGGCUAUGUUGGCCGGGCGACGGUUGUCCCGGUUUAAGCGUGUAGGCUGGUUUUCCAGGCAAAUCCGGAAAAUCAAGGCUGAGGCGUGAUGACGAGGCACUACGGUGCUGAAGCAACAAAUGCCCUGCUUCCAGGAAAAGCCUCUAAGCAUCAGGUAACACGAAAUCGUACCCCAAACCGACACAGGUGGUCAGGUAGAGAAUACCAAGGCGCUUGAGAGAACUCGGGUGAAGGAACUAGGCAAAAUGGUGCCGUAACUUCGGGAGAAGGCACGCUGACACGUAGGUGAAGUGAUUUACUCAUGGAGCUGAAGUCAGUCGAAGAUACCAGCUGGCUGCAACUGUUUAUUAAAAACACAGCACUGUGCAAACACGAAAGUGGACGUAUACGGUGUGACGCCUGCCCGGUGCCGGAAGGUUAAUUGAUGGGGUCAGCGCAAGCGAAGCUCCUGAUCGAAGCCCCGGUAAACGGCGGCCGUAACUAUAACGGUCCUAAGGUAGCGAAAUUCCUUGUCGGGUAAGUUCCGACCUGCACGAAUGGCGUAAUGAUGGCCAGGCUGUCUCCACCCGAGACUCAGUGAAAUUGAACUCGCUGUGAAGAUGCAGUGUACCCGCGGCAAGACGGAAAGACCCCGUGAACCUUUACUAUAGCUUGACACUGAACAUUGAGCCUUGAUGUGUAGGAUAGGUGGGAGGCUUUGAAGCGUGGACGCCAGUCUGCGUGGAGCCGACCUUGAAAUACCACCCUUUAAUGUUUGAUGUUCUAACGUGGACCCGUAAUCCGGGUUGCGGACAGUGUCUGGUGGGUAGUUUGACUGGGGCGGUCUCCUCCUAAAGAGUAACGGAGGAGCACGAAGGUUGGCUAAUCCUGGUCGGACAUCAGGAGGUUAGUGCAAUGGCAUAAGCCAGCUUGACUGCGAGCGUGACGGCGCGAGCAGGUGCGAAAGCAGGUCAUAGUGAUCCGGUGGUUCUGAAUGGAAGGGCCAUCGCUCAACGGAUAAAAGGUACUCCGGGGAUAACAGGCUGAUACCGCCCAAGAGUUCAUAUCGACGGCGGUGUUUGGCACCUCGAUGUCGGCUCAUCACAUCCUGGGGCUGAAGUAGGUCCCAAGGGUAUGGCUGUUCGCCAUUUAAAGUGGUACGCGAGCUGGGUUUAGAACGUCGUGAGACAGUUCGGUCCCUAUCUGCCGUGGGCGCUGGAGAACUGAGGGGGGCUGCUCCUAGUACGAGAGGACCGGAGUGGACGCAUCACUGGUGUUCGGGUUGUCAUGCCAAUGGCACUGCCCGGUAGCUAAAUGCGGAAGAGAUAAGUGCUGAAAGCAUCUAAGCACGAAACUUGCCCCGAGAUGAGUUCUCCCUGAGACUUAGAGUCUCCUGAAGGAACGUUGAAGACGACGACGUUGAUAGGCCGGGUGUGUAAGCGCAGCGAUGCGUUGAGCUAACCGGUACUAAUGAACCGUGAGGCUUAACCUUACAACGCCGAAG
rnacentral:rRNA from 1 species